rnacentral:tRNA from 1 species
GAGCCGGUAGCUCAGUUGGUAGAGCAUUCGACUUUUAAUCGAACGGCCGUGGGUUCGAGUCCCACCCGGCUCA